UGCCCCAGUAACGGCGAGUGAAGCGGCAACAGCUCAAAUUUGAAAUCUGGCCCCCCCCGGGGGGCCCGAGUUGUAAUUUGCAGAGGAUGCUUUGGGCGAGGCGCCUUCCGAGUUCCCUGGAACGGGACGCCACAGAGGGUGAGAGCCCCGUCUGGUCGGACGCCGAGCCUCUGUAAAGCUCCUUCGACGAGUCGAGUAGUUUGGGAAUGCUGCUCAAAAUGGGAGGUAUAUGUCUUCUAAAGCUAAAUACCGGCCAGAGACCGAUAGCGCACAAGUAGAGUGAUCGAAAGAUGAAAAGCACCUUGAAAAGGGGGUUAAACAGUACGUGAAAUUGUUGAAAGGGAAGCGCUCGUGACCAGCCUUGGGGCGGGCGGAUCAGCCGGCGUUCUCGCCGGCGCACUCCGCCCGUCCCAGGCCAGCAUCAGUUCGCGCCGGGGGACAAAGGCGGCGGGAACGUGGCUCCCCAGGGAGUGUUAUAGCCCGCCGCGCCAUGCCCCGGGGGCGGACUGAGGGCCGCGCAUCACUGCAAGGAUGCUGGCGUAAUGGUCACCAGCGACCCGUCUUGAAACACGGGCCAAGGAGUCGUCCUCGUAUGCGAGUGUUCGGGUGUCAAACCCCUACGCGGAAUGAAAGUGAACGUGGGUGAGAGCUUCGGCGCAUCAUCGACCGAUCCUGAUGUUCUCGGAUGGAUUUGAGUAGGAGCAUACGGGGCCGGACCCGAAAGAAGGUGAACUAUGCCUGUGUAGGGUGAAGCCAGAGGAAACUCUGGUGGAGGCUCGCAGCGGUUCUGACGUGCAAAUCGAUCGUCAAACAUGGGCAUGGGGGCGAAAGACUAAUCGA
rnacentral:rRNA from 1 species